CCAUUUUUCCUCUACCACUUGGCUAAGAAGCUGAGGAGGAACUGGCAGUGAGGGAGGAGGUUGAGAAUGAAAGUUCUGGAGAGUCACCUAAGAGACGGUAAACACAUACCUCAUGUCUUGGCUUCUAGAGCCCGGAGAUAAGAUCAGCUUCCCUUGAAAAUGUUAGCUCCCAUGCCACAUUUAGUCAAGACAACAAUAACAAAAGGCUUUCUUCAGGGAGGGCAGUGGAAGUGAGUUUGAGAUAAAAAGGAAUUUAUUUAUUUGCACCUAUGUAUUGUUCAGAAGUUUUAGGUCUUAUGAAAAAAAGAUUUUUAUAAAUUAUACACAAUUGGGUAGCUUUAAAAAAUACCAAAAUAUACAGUGGUCACCCUAAAACUAACAUUUUUGGAUAAUACACUUAUAAAUUGGAAAAUGAGAAAAGAUAGUCUGGUAUAACUGCCUGAACAACUUAUUAAGAACAUUAACAAGUAAUAACACAUAUUUUAAUGUAAUAUUGCUGACUAAUUUGGCACAUUUAAUACACGUCCAAUAUAUUUUCUAUGUACUGUGAAAGCUUUUGGGAAAAUAAAGCAGCUUGUGUUACAAAAACUGCAACCUUUCACAAAGGUUACCCACAAAAUACUUUUGCCUAGCCACUGCCUGUCCAACUUCAGAGUGGCACCACCCUUGCUAUUGAUCUUUGUAACCAACGACAAUUAUUUCAAAACAAUUAUACAACCCUCAUUUUUCUUUAAAAUCUUUGUCUUCCUUUACUUCCCUGAAUACACACGUAGUUUACCAUGACAUGGGUCUUUUUUUUUUUUUUUUGGAGACGUAGUUUUGCACUGUCGCCCAGGCUGGAGUGCAGUGGCACAUCUAGGCUCACUGCAACCUCCACUUCUCAGGUUCAAGCCAAUCUUCUGCCUCAGCCUCCCAAGUAGCGGGAUCAUAGGCACCCACCAAUACACCCAUCUAAUUUUUUGUAUUUUUAGUAGAGAGGGGGUUUCACUAUGUUGGCCAGGCUGGUCUCAAACUCCUGACCUCGUGAUCGGCCCACCUCAGCCUCCCAAAGUGCUGGGAUUACAGGCAUAAGCCACCGCGCACGGCCCAUGACAUGCGUAUUUCUACAGCAAUGCUGUAUUCCCAAAUAGAGUUUUCUUUUAGAGAGCCUCUCUCUGUGUUGACAUAAAUGGUGUUCAGCAGUAGAACCUGAAGUAGGACACAUUUCAGAGAGAAGUGGUGAUCUCAGAAUCAGUAUGCAGUACUCACAGGAGCCCUUUGGGCUCUCCGCUUACAUAGCUUGUCUGUUCUGCCCCAGUGAGUCUUUUCUCAGGCAGAGCCUCCCACUUUUGGCAGAGGCUUUUUGACUUGACUUUGGAUUUGUCUUGGUUCUAAGACCACUUUAAUAAAGGACUUUACAUCCCUCCUGGGAUGACAAAAGACUUUUUGUCUUUCCUGGCAAGUCCUUUUUGAUAUAAAGACAAGUGUCCCUCUGGUUUGAGUACUCUGGAUUUAAAAACAAUUUUUUUUUAGAGACAGUGUCUCACUAUACUGCUGAGGCUGGUCUUGAACUCAUGGGCUCAAGCGAUCCUCCUGCCUUGGCCUCCCAAAGUGCUGGGAUUACAGGCAUGGGCCACUGCGCCUGGCUGAGUACUCUGGAUUCUGAGGCAUGCCUUUUCUGGUAAAUUUACUUUGGGUUCUUCUGUGUUUAUAUUAUUUUUUAAUCUGCAUGACUGGGUUAACACUUUUGGGAACACUGAUUUUGGUUUCGUUUCGAUAUGGUUACAUGCAUCUGUAAAUGAUUUGGCUCUUUUCCCCUGUUUCUGAACAUCUCCCAAGAGCAAAAAUAAACAUUCUAAAUUUUGGGCACAGGAUGGCUCUUUUAAAGCCACUAGGGCAAUCGCCACCAGUUAAAACACUGGUCCAAACACCUGACUUAUCUGUCAGGAUUUACAGAAUUUUCUUUGCUCUUAAGAGAUUGAGAAGAAACAAAAUGGAAAUUCUCAAACAUUAAGGCAUGCCUGCUUUUCUGGGACUUCAGAAAGAAGUACAAUUCCUAACAGAAUAAUGCUAGCCCAGCACUUUGAGGGGACAACAAAGGACUAAGGAAAAAAAAUUGGACUUAAUAAUAGACUCCAGGUGGACUUAGCCUAAGUGCCACUCCCUUAAAGCCUCCCUGCCCUCAAAGGUGGCUAAAAGGGUUUUAACACUGACUUUUAGUUGCCAAUCACUCCUGCCAAUGCAGGAUGCAGGACCAGACCAAUAACCCGGGAAAGGUCUAUUCUGUCACCAAGGGACAAUCAAAGCCUAACUACAAGAUGAUUCAUCAUAGAUACUUUCGGAAAAACAUCUUCAUCAAGAGAGGGAAAGGUGAAAGCUGUCAGAAUCAAGAGUCAUGUUUCCAAAAGCCCUGACAAAUGGAGCCAGGGAAGUCCAUGAAGAGAGGGAUUUUACGCACUACCUCAAAGACCCAGAAGAAACCACGCCAGCUUGCACAAACACUAUUCGCAACCUUACACAGAAAAUACUUUUGGGACAUCUGCCUAGAAGCCGAUUGUCCAAACCCGAACUGGCAGCAUCCUUGUUAUUAAUCCUUGUAGCCAAGAAUAAUUAUUUCAAGACAAUUAUAUAAUCUUUAUCUGUCCUUUAAAAACCUGUCUUCCUUUACCUUCCUGAAUACACACAGUUUACUAUGGCAUGCAUAUUGCCUUCACAAUGCCCUAUUCCCAAAUAAACAUCAUUUUCUUUUAGAAAGCCUCUGUUAUUUAGGUUGACAGUUAUUACACCUGAAAACUAAAUUCUAGCUGAUCAAUAAAAUUCUUUGGUUCUACUGUAUACUUUUAUUUGGGGAUAUCUGCUUCCAAACACACUAAAGUACAGUAUACUCAAUUUUAAAUAUAGACAGUAUAUUUAAAAAAAACAUAAAAAGUAUGUCGAACAUUUUUAAUUUCAAACACCAAACUUAAAUAGACUAAUAACACAGAUCUUCUGUGGUCCACAAAUCAUGGCAAAAAACUUUGUUUUCAUAUGCCCAUUAUGGCUUGCUGACUGGCUUACUGCAUUUUAGAUUUUCCUUAUGA
rnacentral:lncRNA from 1 species